GAUGAACGCUGGCGGCGUGCCUAAUACAUGCAAGUCGAGCGAACGGACGAGAAGCUUGCUUCUCUGAUGUUAGCGGCGGACGGGUGAGUAACACGUGGAUAACCUACCUAUAAGACUGGGAUAACUUCGGGAAACCGGAGCUAAUACCGGAUAAUAUUUUGAACCGCAUGGUUCAAAAGUGAAAGACGGUCUUGCUGUCACUUAUAGAUGGAUCCGCGCUGCAUUAGCUAGUUGGUAAGGUAACGGCUUACCAAGGCAACGAUGCAUAGCCGACCUGAGAGGGUGAUCGGCCACACUGGAACUGAGACACGGUCCAGACUCCUACGGGAGGCAGCAGUAGGGAAUCUUCCGCAAUGGGCGAAAGCCUGACGGAGCAACGCCGCGUGAGUGAUGAAGGUCUUCGGAUCGUAAAACUCUGUUAUUAGGGAAGAACAUAUGUGUAAGUAACUGUGCACAUCUUGACGGUACCUAAUCAGAAAGCCACGGCUAACUACGUGCCAGCAGCCGCGGUAAUACGUAGGUGGCAAGCGUUAUCCGGAAUUAUUGGGCGUAAAGCGCGCGUAGGCGGUUUUUUAAGUCUGAUGUGAAAGCCCACUGCUCAACCGUGGAGGGUCAUUGGAAACUGGAAAACUUGAGUGCAGAAGAGGAAAGUGGAAUUCCAUGUGUAGCGGUGAAAUGCGCAGAGAUAUGGAGGAACACCAGUGGCGAAGGCGACUUUCUGGUCUGUAACUGACGCUGAUGUGCGAAAGCGUGGGGAUCAAACAGGAUUAGAUACCCUGGUAGUCCACGCCGUAAACGAUGAGUGCUAAGUGUUAGGGGGUUUCCGCCCCUUAGUGCUGCAGCUAACGCAUUAAGCACUCCGCCUGGGGAGUACGACCGCAAGGUUGAAACUCAAAGGAAUUGACGGGGACCCGCACAAGCGGUGGAGCAUGUGGUUUAAUUCGAAGCAACGCGAAGAACCUUACCAAAUCUUGACAUCCUUUGACAACUCUAGAGAUAGAGCCUUCCCCUUCGGGGGACAAAGUGACAGGUGGUGCAUGGUUGUCGUCAGCUCGUGUCGUGAGACGUUGGGUUAAGUCCCGCAACGAGCGCAACCCUUAAGCUUAGUUGCCAUCAUUAAGUUGGGCACUCUAAGUUGACUGCCGGUGACAAACCGGAGGAAGGUGGGGAUGACGUCAAAUCAUCAUGCCCCUUAUGAUUUGGGCUACACACGUGCUACAAUGGACAAUACAAAGGGCAGCGAAACCGCGAGGUCAAGCAAAUCCCAUAAAGUUGUUCUCAGUUCGGAUUGUAGUCUGCAACUCGACUACAUGAAGCUGGAAUCGCUAGUAAUCGUAGAUCAGCAUGCUACGGUGAAUACGUUCCCGGGUCU
rnacentral:rRNA from 1 species